GUGAAUCAUCGAAUUUUUGAACGCAAAUUGCACUCUCUGGUAUUCCGGAGAGUAUACCUGUUUGAGGGUCAGUUUAAAUAAAAAUCUUUUUGUUUGCUGCCUUUCGUUGUGACGCACCAGAUUUUGAUCUUCUUACCUUCGGUUGAAUGACCUAGAAUUGUUCAUAAUUUUUUCGAACGUACUUAAAUAAUUUUACUUACUUUUGCUCUAUCGGUUACUAUAUGUAUUAAUCCUCAUUAUUCGCUCCUA
rnacentral:misc_RNA from 1 species